rnacentral:miRNA from 1 species
GUGCAUUGUUGUUGCAUUG